AGUGGGAUAGCUGGGCCUAAUGGUAGUUUUAUUCCAAAUUUUCUGAGGAAUCUCCAUACUGCUUUCCAGAGUGGUUGCACCAAUUUGCAGUCCCACGAGCAAU
rnacentral:pre_miRNA from 1 species